GAAUUCGCCCUUAGAGUUUGAUCCUGGCUCAAGAUGAACGCUAGCGGCAGGCUUAACACAUGCAAGUCGAGGGGCAGCAUGUCCAGCAAUGGAUGAUGGCGACCGGCGGAAGGGUGCGUAACGCGUGAGCAACAUGCCCUAUACAGGGAGAUACACCAGGGAAACUUGGUCUAAUAUCCCAUAGCAUUCAUUGAAGGCAUCUUUAAUGAAUUAAAGCUUCGGUGGUAUAGGAUUGGCUCGCGUGACAUUAGCCAGAUGGUGAGGUAACGGCUCACCAUAGCAAUGAUGUCUAGGGGUUUUGAGAGGAAGGCCCCCCACACUGGGACUGAGACACGGCCCAGACUCCUACGGGAGGCAGCAGUGAGGAAUAUUGGACAAUGGAUGGAAAUCUGAUCCAGCCAUGCCGCGUGCAGGAAGACGGCCUUAUGGGUUGUAAACUUCUUUGGAGAGGGACGAAAUUGACGGUACCUCUCGAACAAGCCACGGCUAACUACGUGCCAGCAGCCGCGGUAAUACGUAGGUGGCAAGCGUUAUCCGGAAUUACUGGGUGUAAAGGGCGCGCAGGCGGCCCUGCAAGUCGGAUGUGAAAGAUCAAGGCUCAACCUUGACAGGCCAUUCGAAACUGUGGGACUUGAGUGUCAGAGGGGAAAGUGGAAUUCCUAGUGGAGCGGUAAAAUGCGCAGAUAUUAGGAGGAACACCGGUGGCGAAGGCGACUUUCUGGCUGACAACUGACGCUGAGGCGCGAAAGCGUGGGGAGCAAACAGGAUUAGAUACCCUGGUAGUCCACGCCGUAAACGAUGAUUACUAGGUGUAGGGGGUAUCGACUCCCUCUGUGCCACAGUUAACGCAUUAAGUAAUCCACCUGGGGAGUACGGCCGCAAGGUUAAAACUCAAAGGAAUUGACGGGGGCCCGCACAAGCAGUGGAGUAUGUGGAUUAAUUCGAUGAUACGCGAGGAACCUUACCCGGGUUUGAAUUGCUGAUGGCGAUAAUUGGAGACAGUUAUUUCCCUUCGGGGCGUCAGUGAAGGUGCUGCAUGGUUGUCGUCAGCUCGUGCCGUGAGGUGUCGGCUUAAGUGCCAUAACGAGCGCAACCCUUGCCGUUAGUUGCCAUCGGGUCAUGCCGGGCACUCUAUUGGGACUGCCAUCGUAAGAUGUGAGGAAGGUGGGGAUGACGUCAAAUCAGCACGGCCCUUAUGUCCGGGGCGACACACGUGUUACAAUGGGGGGUACAGUGGGAAGCUACCUGGCGACAGGUUGCGGAUCCCCAAAUCCUUUCUCAGUUCGGAUCGGAGUCUGUAACUCGACUCCGUGAAGUUGGAUUCGCUAGUAAUCGCGCAUCAGCCAUGGCGCGGUGAAUACGUUCCCGGGCCUUGUACUCACCGCCCGUC
rnacentral:rRNA from 1 species